AGGCCUAACACAUGCAAGCCGAGCGGUAGAGAUUCUUCGGAAUCUUGAGAGCGGCGUACGGGUGCGGAACACGUGUGCAACCUGCCUUUAUCAGGGGGAUAGCCUUUCGAAAGGAAGAUUAAUACCCCAUAAUAUAUUAACUGGCAUCAGUGAAUAUUGAAAACUACGGUGGAUGGAGAUGGGCACGCGCAAGAUUAGCUAGUUGGUGAGGUAACGGCUCACCAAGGCGACGAUCUUUAGGGGGCCUGAGAGGGUGAUCCCCCACACUGGUACUGAGACACGGACCAGACUCCUACGGGAGGCAGCAGUGAGGAAUAUUGGACAAUGGGUGGAAGCCUGAUCCAGCCAUCCCGCGUGCAGGAAGACGGCCCUAUGGGUUGUAAACUGCUUUUAUCUGGGGAUAAACCUACUUACGUGUAAGUAGCUGAGGGUACCAGAAGAAUAAGCACCGGCUAGCUCCGUGCCAGCAGCCGCGGUAAUACGGAGGGUGCAAGCGUUAUCCGGAUUUAUUGGGUUUAAAGGGUCCGUAGGCGGACUAGUAAGUCAGUGGUGAAAUCCGACAGCUUAACUGUCGAACUGCCAUUGAUACCGCUAGUCUUGAAUAAGGUUGAAGUGCCUGGAAUAGGUAGUGCGGCGGGGAAGUGGAUAGAUGAUUACUCAGAACACCCAUUGGCAGAGCCGGGUAACUGGAGGUAGAGUUACGCUCCAGGAGGAAGGCGGGGGGGACAGAAAGGAUUUGGACGCCGGGGCUCACGCCGGGAACCAGAAG
rnacentral:rRNA from 1 species